CGGGCAGAGGGAGCCCAGGAGCGCAGGCAGGUGCAGAAUUUCCCUCCGGCCACCUACACAACAGAGGAGGCAGCUCUGCCUCUUCCUUCUGCCUUAAAGGGAGGCCAGGCGAUUCCCACCACCCGCUCCGAGUGCAGCGGACUUUCCCAGGUGCCCAGGAGGCCAUGUGCUCACUGGCCUGCAAAUUCCAGGACUUUCCACCAUCUGAGUCACACCCCAGAGGCUCCCGAGCCAUAACUGCUACAGACAGAGCUGGUACACCAGAGCUGCCCCUCCUGUCCAGUCUCCCAUGGACUGAGGAGCCCCUUGGAGCAGCAUGUCCAAUAGGGAUUUGAUGGGCGUUGCCCAAGAGACGCCCUGUGUUCUACAGCCAGUGUCCCAGGGAAGGAGAGUGAGGGGGAGCUGCAGGCCACAGUGUCCACCUGAACCCAUACACAGGGACGUGUGGCUGCACUGUACUCAGUCUCAGCGGUUCUCCAGUGGUUUGCACCCGUUUCUGCAGAGGACUUUGGAAUCCCAUGUGCUGUACAGGUCAUCAGGGCUGGCUUCGGACCAGCUGUCUGCAGUAGCCCCUGGAGGCUGCAGGGCUGGAAGGACCCCCUGCCACACCUGAGGCAGGAUCCACAGGCCUCCGUGGGGGGUAGUGGGCAGGAUGGACUGUAGGUGCACAGGCAGGGUGGCGGGAGGGCGGCCUUGCAGGACCGGGGCCAGCUGCCUCCCGGAGGGAGGAAGCACCUGGCAAUCUCGCCUUGGCAGGAAGUUGCCUCUCGCCUCCGGCUGCACUCUGCUCUGGGUGGGGAGCCCCAUGGGGACCCCCGGUGGGGAUGGCCCCUGCACGAAGGCAAGGAACCCCUGCUGAGGGGACCUAGCGACUGCUGGGUCUGGGGAGGACUGGGGACAGGAGAAGCCCCUAGGGACUGUGGGCAGUGGCAGUGCUGCCGCUUUCAGAGUGUGAGGUCCCAGCCCUCCGUCUAGAGCAUGCUGUGGGGGGACGCGAGUGGCUCCGGCCGCUGCCUGUCAGUCUGUCCAGGGCUGGGGGACAUCGACACAAGGCCAUCGUUGGGGUCCCCUUGGAGAUCACCUGGGAGGAAGCUUGGCAUCAAGUUUGCAUGAGCCACUCCCAGUGGGGAGGACAGGAGUCACCUCUGCAGGUGGAGCACUGUGCCUGGCCUGGGGACAUGUGGGCCACCAGCAGGGCAGAUAGGACGCAGUGUCGUGGGGAGGCUGUGUGACCACGGGCACACUGCCCCCUCUCUGGGCCUGACUGCUGAGCUCCAGGGUCUGCAGGGCUGGCGGAGCCCUGUCCCCACACAGAGCGUGUGCAGUGGGUGGAAACCUCAGACCUCUCUUGGUGGAGGACCCAGCAGUGGGAAAGCCCUGAAGGUGGCGAGGGACCCGCUCCUGAGGAACCCCCAGAUGCGGUGGAGACGUCUGUGCCCUGCUGGCCCCAGCUGGCUCUGGGUGCACUCAGGUGCACCCCGGCCGAGAACUGAAGUGAGGGGCCGUGAACGCAGCCGUGAGGGCCUCCGGCCCCCACCCCGCACCCUGUCCAGGGUCUGUGAAGCUGGGGCUUUCCAGGCACUCAAAUCGCGCCCCUAUCCGGGAGGCCAGGAGGAAGCUCUGGGGCCCGCGGGGCGGAGUGAAUUCCCCAGUUCCCUCUCUGCUGGGCCCUCCUGGCCUUUGUCUGCAGGGGCAGCUGCAGGGGCGGCACCAGCCGGGCUCCCUGGGGAGGCAUGGGGGUGAACUGGGGCUCUGCUGUGCCGGCCCCCCUUCACCAGCCGCAUUCAGGGGGACUCGGUGGACGCAGGCAGCUGGUCUCCACCUCGGGGGUGGCUAGGUCCAGCCCACCACCCUGCACACAUCAGGAGGCCCAAGGUCAAGAGGGCUGCCUGUGUCCAGCACAGAGGACAGAGCCUGGGCCUUGCACCUUAGCCCUGGCCCAAGACCCAACGUACCCAGGCCAAUGUAGAGUCUCCCCUCUGCUCCCCCCCAGUGGACGGUACUGCCCAGGAGGACCACAGUCAUGACCUGGACAGGCCCCUCGGUCCUCCUGACUGUCCUGCUGCAUGACUGGGCUUCUAGCCCCUUUUGGGGGGCGAUGCUCACAGGCUGGGCCAGAGUCCACAGUGGGCCCAUCCUGCGGCCCUCCGGGGCUCUGCCUGAGCUCUGGGGACAGCCAGGGAGUUGGGGGAUUUGGGCAGAGGGGGGCCAGCUGCUCUGGCGGGUGUGGAGAUGGGACCUGGCGCUACGCCUGUCCUGUCCCCCGCGACGGCGCUGUACCACAAGGCAGGUCAAGGCCCCUCUCAUGAAGACCUGUGCUGCCCAGCAGGCGGUCUCCUGGCCCACCCAUCUGAGGGUGGCCCUGAUGCCAAGCCCAGGUUGGCUCGCCUGACACCUCCUGACAGUGGCCUGUGCACACACGGCCCCAACUAGGUACCAGGGCUGGGAGGGGCAUGGACACACUGCAGGGCCUUUGGGCAGUCGGUGCUGCAGAGGGAGGGGGUGGAGGGGAAGCCAUGCCAUCGCCCUGGGCCCCGUCCCUUCCCAUCUUCCUUGGAUGCGAUGGUCUUCCCAGGGUGCGAUGGAGGACGCAGGGCUCCGGGGAGGGCCUGGGCUCUGUGGAAGCCUCCGGGUGUGGGUGUGGCUUGUGUUCCCAGCAUUCCUCGCCCCCCAUGUCCUGGAGGCCCCUGCCUCCCCAGGUCCUAGCGUCCUUCCUGAGACCCCCUCCUCCAGGGCUGGCAUCGCCUCAGCCCGGCCGUCCCCCAGUGAGCAGCUGGGCCAUCUGGGGCAGCCUGCCCAGCUCCGGAGCAGGUGCUGGGCGGGAUGGGCUUGCCGGAGAGCCCAGUUCCUCUGCUGGUAGCAGGAAGAGAGCAGGGGGUGGGUGGGCAGAGGCCUGGGGCUCACUCACUACUGACACACUGUGUGGCCAUGAGUGGCCGUUCCCCUCCUAGCCCAUGCCCCUUUGGUAGAGGACGAGGUAAGAGCAGAUGGAAGUCAGGGACCAGAUCUGCCAUAUUUAAGGCCUGUGAUAGUCCUCAGGCUCUGACUGCAGGGGUCCUGGCUCCUAGGGAGAUGCCCUCUGGCUUGGAGGGACAGCUGUGACCCUGCCCCCCUGCCUGGGCAGGAGCUGAGGCCUUAUGAGACUUAAGGGAGGUUGGGCUGUAGCCUUGAUCCUGGGCUCGGGUCAGGCCCUAAAUCCUGGGCUGCUUGGGGGCAGAGGUGGACGCAGCUGAAGGGGGUCUGGUGGGUCUCAGCAGCCCCAGGAAGGCCCCGGCCCUGGCAGUCCCACAGCAGCCUGUGACGUGCUGGUCACGUCUGCUGGUCCCACACCUCAGGGACACCCCACAGGCCCCCCUGGGUGAGCUGGCCCAUCUGCACCUCUCCAUGGACAGGCCCUUAACUGUCCUCUGACCGAGGCCCUGACUAGAGAGACCCAGACAGUCAGGCCUCCCAGGCCACGUGGCGGAUGACCCCAGCCAGUGCUGGAAGGCGCCCAGACGCAUAGAUCCGCUGUGUCCAGGAGGCUCCGACACAGCAGCAAACAGUCCAUCAUGAGGCUCCCAGCCAGAGCUCGGGCUCCCUCAGGCCAGUCUCUGAGUCCCUCCCCUGAGCUGGAGCCCAGCACGAGACCUAAAGCCCAGCACCCGGGGGCCCCGUUUGCCCCUGCCCUGCUGGCUGUGGGGCAAGGACAUCUCCUCCUGUCUCUGGGCCCAGAUCCUGCUCUGACCAGGCUGAGAUGGCAGAUGGGGAUCUAGAGGCCCCGCAGGCCCACGGCCCGUCCUGCUUCAGCCUCGGCAGGAGUGCGAGCAGGUCGCCUUGAGCCUGCUGGAGACCAGGGGUCCUUUCUCUCUGAGCCCUGCGCUGGGUGCCACGGCCACCGUGAGCUGGCAGGCAGGGGACACGUGGAACAGGGAAGCGGCGGGUUUGCCCAGUGGGAUGACCACGGAAGGAGCCGAAUGCCGCAGGAAAAGACCGACGGGGGACAGGCCUCCUGAGGAGCUCUGGGCAGCUGCCAGAGACUGACCAGCGCACGCGAAGGCCCUGGGUGUGGUGGAGCUACUGGCUGCGAGGAGAGUGCCGAGCGGUCGACGGAGUUCGCACCAGAUUGCUCUUCCAAAAGACGUGACGUCAGGGCAGCCCUGCCCUCGAGGGCCUCCCACCUCUUUCUGGGCAGCCCUCCUGAGGGCCACCUCCACCUCCGAGCAGACACCCUGGGCCAGGCAGACAGACCCCUGCUUUGGUCUGACCUCUGACUCCAUGACCAUUGAUAACUGUAACAAUGACCAGAGCCCAGGGGCAUCUGGGGGCAGCUCCCCCAGAGGGGUGGACGGGUUUGGCAUGUGUCCCCUGGAAGGAGAACUGGGCGGGGGAGUGGGGGUCCUCACCCUCGCUACUCCCAUCUCUGCCUCCCGUCCAAGCACAUCACAAGACCAACGAGUCAGAGGAGCUGUGCUGGGACCCGUCAGCGGGAGGCGUCCCCCUCGACCUGGGGAGGAAGUGAGAGCCGGCUUCGCGUGAAGGGUGUCCACCUCCAGCCUCCAGGACCACUUCCCCCACGAAGCUGGCCUGACUGCCUGUCCUGCACCCUCUCUCCCUAGGCUCCCCUGCCUAGGGGUUGCCUUGCCCUCAAGGAGCAGGGCCCAGUCUCCCUGGCACAGAGGAGAGCCUCUUGAACUCCGCAGAGACCGGCCUUCCUCAGGCUAUGACCUUCUGUCUCACCUUGGGCCCAGAGCUGUGGAGCCGGCUGAAGGCGAACUGAACCUCCGAGGCCAUGAGCCAAAAUAAACUGCCCCUCCUCCGA